GUUCUUUCCUACAAAGGAAGACGAUACACCUGCUGAGUCGUCGGGUGGGUCCUCUCUUUUUAACAAAUGUAUUGACUUCUUUCUGCGGGUCUCGCUUUGCGCAGCGACGUGGUGACUGCCGCGACCGGUGAUGCUAUUGCUGUGACGACGGCUGUCAAGUAACGUUUGCGUUGGCUUGCGACCAUUGGUCUUUCGAGCAGCUAGCCUCGCAUCGGUAGUGAUCGCUUGUCGUUGACAGCAUCGGAUCGUGUUCGGCAGCUGCUUGCGACAAGACCCAUGGAGACGUUCCACCAUCAGGCCAUAGAAGAAGAUUAACUGCUGUGUACCUGUGGCGUGGUCCUCAAAUCGCCACCGUUUAGCAAAUAUCUAACGAAAACAAAUAUAAGGGAAGAGAGUGAAAGGCAGACGGAAAGUAUCUGUCUGAUAGAUCGACCUGCUGACCCGAUCAGCGUCCAGUCGGAACAACGUUUGCAACAAAGAUCGAGGAUUAAUACUUUCUGCCGACCAUGCGUUCAUGGACUGCAGCGACUCUCACGUUCUGCUUAGUUGCCGGAGUAAGGGGACAUGGGGGUCGACAAACCCCAGUGACGAGUUUUGCUAAUAAUGAUCCCGGUGAGCUUCAGACGGAUCAGGAGCGGGGCAGAGAAGCACCGCAGAGUGAGUCUCAGUUCGAUGGCGGUCAGGGAGGAAUUCCCACGAUCCCUCUGAAGAUUAGAAUUCCCGAAAGCAUGGAAUUCGUCCACAUGGACGCAGCUUUUGACUCGACCAUUCCUGAUUGUAUUCGCAAGGACCCCGCGUCUAUCGAAGAGAACGGAGGAAUUACUGUAACAGCUGAAACAUUCACCGACUGCGCAAGGCAUGAACUUCGCAGAAUUCAGGACAAGUUUGAGACUCAGAAUCGUCCGUCAGCAACGAGCGGACCUCGUGGAAAGUCGGACAAGGCCGCGGAAGAUAGUGGAGCAGCCCCUGUUGAAGCCGUGUCAGGGGGUAGAGAGAGUGGCCAGGAAAAUGAACAGGAUAAUAAUAGACACAAGGAUAAGCCCGACCACGACAUCUCUGACCACGAUCGAAUCAACCAGGGCAUAUUGGCCCAACACGGUAUAAGGGGAAGUGGCAGUGCAGCCGCACCAAAAGCAACUACUGACACCAUAGUCAAUGCUACCGCUUCGGCCGUUCCAGGAUCUAGCUCCAACGACAUGUUGGCUGUGAUUCAAACGGUAUUUGACUACAAACGUGUAAUGACCGAUUUACGGCGAAUCCUUCGAGGAGACGUGUUCGGUGUCCUAGGAGAGUACCCCGGCCGCAUGAAUGGCCUAUUCAAGAUUAUUCAAGAACUGCCUCGUCGAAUAAUGAAGUCGAUCGGAAUUGUCAACCGCCUUCGCAACGCAACGACAGAUACGACCUUUCGGGGAGUUCUUACGAAUCUCAAGGAAUAUCUGACACAGGCAUCGCAUACGGCCAAAGAUCUGCCUACUGCGUUUACUCUCGUUAGCGUAAUGGACACUCUGCGUAACGUGGCGAGUGACAAUGCCCAGCAGAAUACCGAACAGAAGACUGCGCAGCUCCCAGCUCAAAGGAUGUUAUUAUCGAGAGUUGAGGAGAUCCUGCGCAACCCGCUGGGCGAAGUGUUUAAUAUGGGUCCCUAUAGAAAAAUCGCGCAUGGAGCCGAGCAAGGAAGGCAAUUUUUGUCUAGAAGGAUCUUCGACUUCCAUCCGGACAGGAUUUUUCCAAACGUGCUGAAUCCACUAACUUUUUUCUAUAGACGUCCUCAUCAAACAAAUGGUCAAGCACAGGGAAACCCUCAGCCAUGACACGGUCCAAGAGAAUGAAGGAACAUUACGCUUCGCUUAUCUCAUAUAUUAACACCUCUUCACGUAUUGCUAAUAUUGAUUCGAAUGAGGGUGUUAUUAUUCAUAACAAACGUUAUUUAUUGUGCAUCGCAACACUUAGAGGUGAAGGUAAACAUCUCAAGACUAAAUUUAGAGAUAGACAGUGAACUCAUUAGUUCCAUAAAAAAAAAUCAUAGGUCUUCGUUGAAACUUAUGGACAGGUAUUUCUCUUCAAAGUUUUUUUUUUUUACUUAAAGUUCAUAAAUCCAACUACCAUUGUAAAUAGGAGCAUAUUCGCUAAUGAAAAGUUAGGCAGAAUAAUGAUCAUCCGAAGAUUGCGUCAAGCGAACAAUUUUCUAUCCGAGAUCAAGCUAUCAUUAAAAAGAAUAUAAAUAUAGCUUGAAUAGUAAGAACUUGAGUCUUUAUUUAAUUGAUUCACAAAGUCUAAUUUAAUUGUGUAACAUAUUUUAGCUCGAUUGCAACUUCUAAACCUUCCAGUGACGUCGGUUUUCUACUAUAGACUCUGCCGAUAACGUAUAUCUAUAGGAAAAAGCCUAUCGACAUUGGAUUUAUGUAAUGGACAAAGUAUGGGGCAUUUUUGCUUAACUUACCUGAUUGAAGGAUUUUACAUUGAUACAUUAGAAUGAUAGCAGGAAAGUGCUUCGUCCUAUUAUAGGAACUGUCGAAUUAAUCUUCUACUUAAACAGUUGUACCACACUGUAGCUUCGGUGCCUGGUAAACUGUUCAUGCAAAUGAUCCGAAGUACCAUUUGUAAAAUCGUCUUCUUGAGUCCGAAUCCUCUUCAUUGAUGGCAUAUACCAUUGCUGGGCUGUAACUUUUCUACUACUAAUGUCUAAACAUGCAAUGCGCACUUGAUUUACUGAUCCCGAGCGCCGACUUGAUUAUCUUACGGAUUUUAUGCUUCACGGAUGCUGUCUAGUGUUGACUGGUGAAGUUCGUUGAUGUUCUUGGUCCUCCGGAACGUUAUCUAUGAACAUCCUAGACAGCUCCAUCUGUUUUGAAUAUAUUUCUCAUCCGACUAGUCGUAAGUCGCGUAGGCGGAUCUGUCUGGAACUUCCUGCACUUCCAUCGCCUUUGUGCUUUUGCUAUAUUUUCAUACUUUCAAUAGUAUUUUAGAUACAUUUUUUGUUUAUCUAAAAGUUGAUUUUUGUUUGUUCAUUAUUUCGAUUUCAUAAUAUUCUGAACUGAAAGAACUCUGAGAAACAUACUACUGGUUAAACGGUGUAUACACUUUUUCAGACGCCUUGUAGAUAUAUAAAAAUAUAUUAAGUUGAAAAAAAGUUGCUGUGCUUUGUUUACUGAACAGAAAAUAUCACAUUUUUUAUUCCUGUGGCAGUAUGUUAUUAUGUUAUGUACUCCCUGUCGCUGUUCAUGAUUUUCUCCCAUCUGCUCACCAAAUGAUAUAUUCCGUCUCGUUACAAGGUGGCCAGUUUCGUUUGAAAAGAGUUUUCAACCACGUUUCAAUCUGUUGACCUAUAUUGAAGGUAAUCUCAGGAAGCUGACUAUCCAGCAGAUAGGACAGGUGAAAAUUUUGUCGGAACAAACUCUGGAAAUUAUGACGGUACAACAAAGUCUCUCACUUUAGAAUUCAGGAGGGCAGCUUUGACGGUGUUUGCUGUGUGUGACCUCGCCGUGUUAUAGGGAAAAGCCACACACGAAUAGUCUGAUCGACUCGAUGCAAUUGGGUCAGAUCAACGGUCGAUCAACUGCAUGGGUCGUAUGAAGCAAUUUCCAGUAUAUCAGUCCCUUGCAGUCCCUCCAAAUGCAAAGCACAACCUGUUUCAGACAUUAAUCUGGCUUUUCUGCUAAAGUCACCCAUUUUGAUUUCUGGCUUAUGCGAUAAUUCCAAGCAAAAAUUGGUCCCUGUGGCCACGUGACGCUCGAUACCAAACGAGAUGUCAAGAUGAAUCGUUGAAAUGUCAGUUCUUGUUGGAUUCAAGGAGUUCGUGGUAUCCAAGCUCUGAACUUCUUAUCGAAUCUAAAUGACUUAAAGUGGUUAACGACGGUCGUGUGGCUGCAACCUAGAUUUGCGGUCAAUUACGAAUUGUUCUUCAGCUGUCCUCUUUCAAAAAUGCUUUUAGAUGGUUGCUAUCAAACUCAGAUAGUCAGCGUGAGCAGCGUUCUCUGAGUCCCGGAUACGGCUUUCAAACUUGGCAAACCAUUCUUGAGCAGUGUUUUUAUUGACAGCUUCGAUACCGUAUACUAAGAAGGAAACGUCGUAGGCUAUUUCGGCUAACUUUUUAGCCCUAGUGGCAAAUGGGAACGUACGGAACGUGUCGACAAUCCGCUCGUUUUUCAUCUGAAAGAUCCAUCUUCGAGGAGCUCAUUCGAAUUGAAGUCGCAUUCAUAACUAUAAUAUAAUAUCGUUAUAGCACCCUGAUAAAGUAGCGAGAGCCUUCUAACGGUUUAUCGGGGUAAGUAGGAAAGCGCAGACACCUUCUUUUCAAUCUUGCAUAUAAUUUAAAUGAGAAAAAAUGUCAUUAUCUAAUUAGCUCUUUUUAGUACGUAUUUAAUAGGACUCGAAGUGAUAAUAUAGAGAUCGCUUCAAGUUACCACCAUUGCAUAAUAAGUUUUAACUAAAAAUUAACAGACAGAGUUAUAAAAGAGCAUCAAAAGAGAUCAUGCUAUAUAAUAUUAAUUAUAUUACAUGAGCGAGCCAACGAACUCAUUUGUCAGAUAAGAAAACUUUUAGCUAUGGAAUAGGACGUUUAGCGGUAUUUGAUAAAAAGAACUUUAAGUUAAUGUUUGCAUACAUGUUGCCAUGUCUUUAUGCCAUACUUGCAUUUUCCUUACCCGAAUCCCUGGGGAAACCAAUAGGUUCUAUAAAACGUAUUUUCCAAUAAAUCGAGCUGUUGAAGGUCGAUGUAGAUGGUAAAUAUUGUUUGUGGUUGAUGGUAAAUAUUAUUGCCAAGAUGCAUAAUACAGCCGUCCCACAGGAAACUCACGGAAAAUAUCUGAUUGAACAAUUUCGUGAAAACCCCUUCCUCCCUGUUUUAUACUUAAUUUUCUGUUUUUCGUGUGAAUGUUCUCACCGUUUUCAAUUUCCCCCAAUUCGACAAAGUAUUUAGUAGUGGUAGGACAACCGACAUGUAAAAUGUGGCCUGCUUUUGCCGCUUUUUUUCCUUUUCAUAGCUUUAUUCUUGAUCUCAAUGGUAAAUCUGCUGCUGGCGCUGGCGUUACGGAACCGCAGGUUUCAUUAUGCUUCACUGCGUAAAUUAACACCUAACCAAAUAGACCGUUUAAGUUGGUGCUGCUGUGGACGGAUACGGGCUAAAGAAAAUUCUAGACUGCGGCAUCAAUGAAAAAGAAAACAUGACAAUUGCAUGGCGAGCUUUCGAAGGAAAAAAGACAAGUCGACCAACUAUCUAAGCUUAUAUACACGGCGUGGACUGAUAGACCGUUUUCAUACAAUGCUUACUUCUAUAGACCGAUAAUUAC